AUACGGAAGGUCCGGGCGUUAUCCGGAUUUAUUGGGUUUAAAGGGAGCGUAGGCGGCCUUUCAAGCGUGUUGUGAAAUGCAGUGGCCCAACCACUGGAUUGCAGCGCGAACUGGGAGGCUUGAGAGCGCACGACGCAGGCGGAAUUUGUGGUGUAGCGGUGAAAUGCUUAGAUAUCACGAAGAACCCCGAUUGCGAAGGCAGCUUGCGGGAGCGCAUCUGACGCUGAAGCUCGAAAGUGCGGGAAUCAAACAGGAUUAGAUACCCUGGUAGUCCGCACGGUAAACGAUGGAUGCCCGUUCUGCGGCCUUAUGGUCGCGGGACCAAGCGAAAGCAUUAAGCAUCCCACCUGGGGAGUACGCCGGCAACGGUGAA
rnacentral:rRNA from 1 species